CCUACGGGGGGCAGCAGUCGGGAAUAUUGCGCAAUGGAGGAAACUCUGACGCAGUGACGCCGCGUGUAGGAAGAAGGUUUUCGGCAUGUAAACUAUUGUCGUCGGGGACGAAAAAGGACAGUACCUCAGGAGAAAGCUCCGGCUAACUACGUGCCAGCAGCCGCGGUAAUACGUAGGGAGCGAGCGUUAUACGGAAUUAUUCGGUGUAAAGGGUGCGUAGACGGGACAAUAAGUUAGAUGUGAAAUCCCUGGGCGUAACCGGGGAACUGCAACUUAAACUAUUUAGCUUGAGUGCAGGAGAGGAAAGUGGAAUUCCUAGUGUAGCGGUGAAAUGCGUAGAUAUUAGGAGGAACACCAGUGGCGAAGGCGACUUACUGGACUGUAACUGACGUUGAGGCACGAAAGUGUGGGGAGCAAACAGGAUUAGAUACCCGAGUAGUC
rnacentral:rRNA from 1 species